UCCCGCCGCAAGUGGAUAAUUUUAAUAGUGUAAAAAUAUGCAAGUGUUCGGUAAACAGGAAGUUGUUGAGUGAUGAAUCUGAAAACGCAUCACACGGUAUAGCUGACUUGUAUAAAUCCUGAAACCAAAUUUCAGAAAUCCUUGUAUUGUAGUUCCUGAGAAAAAUGUGACGGAAAUUUUCAACUUGGUUAUCAUGUGUAAAAUAGUACAAGUGUUCGGUAAACAGGAAGUUGUUGAGUGAUGAAUCUGAAAACGCAUCACACGGUAUAGCAUACUUAUAUAAACCUUGAAACAAAAUUUCAGA
rnacentral:lncRNA from 1 species